rnacentral:sRNA from 1 species
AAGGGACCUAGCGUAGUUCGGAAUUACUGGGCUUAAAGAGUUCGUAGGUGGUUGAAAAAGUUGGUGGUGAAAUCCCAGAGCUUAACUCUGGAACUGCCAUCAAAACUUUUCAGCUAGAGUAUGAUAGAGGAAAGCAGAAUUUCUAGUGUAGAGGUGAAAUUCGUAGAUAUUAGAAAGAAUACCAAUUGCGAAGGCAGCUUUCUGGAUCAUUACUGACACUGAGGAACGAAAGCAUGGGUAGCGAAGAGGAUUAGAUACCCUCGUAGUCCAUGCCGUAAACGAUGUGUGUUAGACGUUGGAAAUUUAUUUUCAGUGUCGCAGGGAAACCGAUAAACACACCGCCUGGGGAGUACGACCGCAAGGUUAAAACUCAAAUGAAUUGACGGGGACCCGCACAAGUAGUGGAGCAUGUGGUUUAAUUCGAAGAUACGCGCAGAACCUUACCAACACUUGACAUGUUCGUCGCGACUCUAAGAGAUUAGAGUUUUCGGUUCGGCCGGACGAAACACAGGUGCUGCAUGGCUGUCGUCAGCUCGUGUCGUGAGAUGUUGGGUUAAGUCCCGCAACGAGCGCAACCCUCACUUUUAGUUGCCAUCAUUAAGUUGGGCACUCUGAAAGAACUGCCAGUGAUAAGCUGGAGGAAGGUGGGGAUGACGUCAAGUCCUCAUGGCCCUUACGUGUUGGGCUACACACGUGCUACAAUGGCAUCUACAACAGGAAGCAAAACGGCAACGUUAAGCAAAUCCCGAAAAGAUGCCUCAGUUCGGAUUGCACUCUGCAACUCGAGUGCAUGAAGCUGGAAUUACUAGUAAUCGUGGAUCAGCGUGCCACGGUGAAUGCGUUCCCGGGUCUUGUACACACCGCCCGUCACACCAUGGGAGUUGGUUCUACCUUAAGGCAAGGUUUUAAACCCUUGACCACGGUAUAGUCAGCGACUGGGGUGAAGUCGUAACAAGGUAGCCGUAGGGGAACCUGCGGCUGGAUUACCUCCUUUCUAAGGAUGAGUGAAAGUAAAAUUUCACUCUAAAUAAUAUACAUCGGUAAUGUUGACCGUCCUCAUUUCUCUUCUUAAAGUAAUGUUUCCUUCUUGUAGGGCCGGUAGCUCAGUUGGUUAGAGCACACCCUUGAUAAGGGUGGGGUCGAAAGUUCGAGUCUUUCUCGGCCCACCAAUAACUCAAUGGGGGAUUAGCUCAUCUGGGAGAGCGCCUGAUUUGCAUUCAGGAGGUAGCAGGUUCGAUCCCUGUAUUCUCCACCAGGAAACAUUUAGUUAUUAAAACUGUAAAUAAAAAUAAUUUAUAUCAAUAUCUAUAUCCGAACAUUAAAAGUUAUUAUUUAAUGUUCAAAGUAAAAAUUUGAUCACAACAUAGAUAAAUUUUCUUUUUAAAAGAAUUUUUUUCUGUGCAUAAAUCAAGCGUUUAAGGGCGUGUAGUGGAUGCCUUGGCACUGAAAGCCGAUGAAGGACGUGAUAUACUGCGAUAAGUUUCGGGGAGCUGUAUGUAAGCUUUGAUCCGAAAAUUU